rnacentral:rRNA from 1 species
UACGUAGGGUGCGAGCGUUGCCCGGAUUUAUUGGGCGUAAAGGGCGCGUAGGCGGCUCUGCACGUCCGUUGUGAAAUCGCCCGGCUCAACUGGGCGGGGUCAGCGGAUACGGCAGAGCUCGAGCAAGCUAGGGGGCAAUGGAAUUCCCGGUGUAGUGGUGGAAUGCGUAGAUAUCGGAAGGAACGCCCGUGGCGAAAGCGAGGUCCUGGACGUCUACUGACGCUGAGACGCGAAAGCUAGGGGAGCAAACGGG